rnacentral:rRNA from 1 species
GCAGAUACCUUACCAGCCCUUGACAUCCCGAUCGCGGAUACGAGAGAUCGUAUCCUUCAGUUCGGCUGGAUCGGAGACAGGUGCUGCAUGGCUGUCGUCAGCUCGUGUCGUGAGAUGUUGGGUUAAGUCCCGCAACGAGCGCAACCCUCGCCCUUAGUUGCCAGCAUUUAGUUGGGCACUCUAAGGGGACUGCCGGUGAUAAGCCGAGAGGAAGGUGGGGAUGACGUCAAGUCCUCAUGGCCCUUACGGGCUGGGCUACACACGUGCUACAGAUGGUGGUGACAGUGGGCAGCGAGACCGCGAGGUCGAGCUAAUCUCCAAAAGCCAUCUCAGUUCGGAUUGCACUCUGCAACUCGAGUGCAUGAAGUUGGAAUCGCUAGUAAUCGCAGAUCAGCAUGCUGCGGUGACAUACGUUCCCGGGC